rnacentral:rRNA from 1 species
UGGGGAAUAUUGCACAAUGGGCGCAAGCCUGAUGCAGCCAUGCCGCGUGUGUGAAGAAGGCCUUCGGGUUGUAAAGCACUUUCAGCGAGGAGGAAGGUGGUGAACUUAAUACGUUCAUCAAUUGACGUUACUCGCAGAAGAAGCACCGGCUAACUCCGUGCCAGCAGCCGCGGUAAUACGGAGGGUGCAAGCGUUAAUCGGAAUUACUGGGCGUAAAGCGCACGCAGGCGGUUUGUUAAGUCAGAUGUGAAAUCCCCGGGCUCAACCUGGGAACUGCAUUUGAAAACUGGCAAGCUAGAGUCUCGUAGAGGGGGGUAGAAUUCCAGGUGUAGCGGUGAAAUGCGUAGAGAUCUGGAGGAAUACCGGUGGCGAAGGCGGCCCCCUGGACGAAGACUGACGCUCAGGUGCGAAAGCGUGGGGAGCAAACAGAUUAGAUACCCUGGUAGUCCACGCUGUAAAACGAUGUCGAUUUUGGA